rnacentral:lncRNA from 1 species
GGUUGCUGACAAUCGUAAGCCGCGAAAGUUGGUUGUGCCGCCAGGGCCCUCCAUGCUCCGCGCAGAGGUUGCUGACAAUCGUAAGCCGCGAAAGUUGGUUGUGCCACCCGGGCCCUCCAUGCUCCGCGCAGAGGUUGCCUGACAAUCGUAAGCCGCGAAAGUUGGUCGUGCCAUUCGGGCCUUCCAUGCUCCGCGCAGAGAUAGCACUUAAUCGUAAGCCGCGAAAGUUGGUUGCACCCCCCGGGUUUUCCAUGCUCCGCGCAGAGGUUGCUUUAACCGUAAGCCGCGAAAGUUGGUUGCACCCC